UACGUAGGGAGCAAGCGUUGUUCGGAUUUACUGGGCGUAAAGGGCGCGUAGGCGGCGCGGUAAGUCACUUGUGAAAUCUCUGAGCUUAACUCAGAACGGCCAAGUGAUACUGCAGUGCUAGAGUGCAGAAGGGGCAAUCGGAAUUCUUGGUGUAGCGGUGAAAUGCGCAGAUAUCAGGAGGAACACCGGUGGCGAAGGCGGCUCACUGGCCCGGUACUGACGCUGAGGUGCGAAAGCGUGGGGAGCAAACAGG
rnacentral:rRNA from 1 species